rnacentral:rRNA from 1 species
AACGCGUAUACAAUCUGCCUUUAAGCGGGGAAUAGCCCAUGGAAACGUGGAUUAAUACCCCAUAGUAUGGAGACUUCACCUGGAGACUUCAUUAAACAUUUAUGGCUUAAAGAUGAGUAUGCGUCCUAUUAGUUAGUUGGUAAGGUAACGGCUUACCAAGACCGCGAUAGGUAGGGGUCCUGAGAGGGAGAUCCCCCACACUGGUACUGAGACACGGACCAGACUCCUACGGGAGGCAGCAGUGAGGAAUAUUGGACAAUGGAGGCAACUCUGAUCCAGCCAUGCCGCGUGCAGGAAGACGGCCCUAUGGGUUGUAAACUGCUUUUAUACGGGAAGAACCACUCCGACGUGUCGGAGCUUGACGGUACCGUAGGAAUAAGGACCGGCUAACUCCGUGCCAGCAGCCGCGGUAAUACGGAGGGUCCAAGCGUUAUCCGGAAUCAUUGGGUUUAAAGGGUCCGUAGGCGGAAUAAUAAGUCAGUGGUGAAAGUCUGCAGCUCAACUGUAGAAUUGCCAUUGAUACUGUUAUUCUUGAAUUAUUAUGAAGUGGUUGGAAUGAGUAGUGUAGCGGUGAAAUGCAU